UUUUCUACUCAACUACAAAGGAAUCAUCCUCAUCAUAAUAAAAUCCCCCUCUUUUGUAUUCCCUUCACAAAGGUUGCACUGUUACACGACCAAAACCUCUAGCAGUAGUAGUUUUCUCUCUCUUGAUCUCUCCUUGCAGCAAAUUUUUGUGCUCUACUGAUUUCCUCAAUUUUUCACUCAAAUCUCUAGGAAUACUUCAAUCACUGAUUCCAUUUCUCUUUAGGCAAGUUCUCAUAUUCGUCAUUGGAAAUUGAUCAAAUUGGAAAUGAAUCAUUUCAGCCUUUGUGGUUGGAGAUUAAGGUACGAUACUUUCGGCGCACUUGGAAAUUUUUAUACUAGAUAUAAAUACAUUUCGUAUUGACUGUAAUUAUUUGAUUAAGAGGAAACUUGCUCAAAGAUCAGAGAGGGUAAAUUGUGUUGAUCUACAUCUUACCGAGACAUGGUAAUUGAACUUUCAUUUUUAAUUUGAUAUGUUUGUUUUAAAUUUUUAAUUGUUUUAUGUCGGAGAUGUCUCCAAGUCAAAUCUUGAAAAACUAUGUGAAUGAUACUCCAACUAUAUUUCUGGAUAAAUUGUCACCACUGUUAUUUGCCUCUUCCCAUAUUCACAAUAAAGUGCAUGUAAAUGAUGACUUACUUUGUAGGAAAAAUUGACUGAGAGGUUAGGAAGUGCAAAUGUGCCGCAUAUAUUUCUGAAAUUUGAUUCCUACGAAAUAGCAGAAUGUUGAAGAAGAAAUUGGAGAAAAUAUUGGCCGAAAAAUGGUCGCCACAUAUUUACAAGAUUGAAGACGAUUACGAGGAGCAGAUCGACAAGAUGGUGGAUGUAGUGUGAAUAUUGAGGCAAGGUUUUUCAAUAAAAGACAAGAUGAAAAUACCAAAGAACUACUCCGACGGUAGGUUUAAAUCUUCUUGAAUUGUGCAAGAACAAAGGUAAGCUCUUUUAACAUUGUCACUAAAUUAGACUAGAUUAAUUCUGAUUCUAAAUUUCAAAUAUUUAUAUUUGAUAACUUUGUCCGAAGUUUUAAUACACAAAAAGACUCAUAUUUAGGAGAAAGGGUACAGAUAUUUUAUUCAAAAUAUAUUUAUACUAUCUUUGUUCACUUUGGACUUUGAACUCCACUUGAGGACCCGUGAUUAAUAUGAGUAUUUUUACUAUGAUACCUAUAUUAAUUUAAUACCCAUAUUAAUUGAUGUGUAGUGUUUGAUAUUGAAAAAUGAUUUGGGAAAUAAGUAAUUAGUGUUGAGUGUAAACCAAGAAAUUAAAUAUUUGGAAUUGAACUUUAUCUUUAAAGAAUUGUCGGAUGCCACAAUUUUAUUACUUGCAGUAAGGUGGAUAUUCUAAAUACGGGUUAUCCAAUGUGGCAUACCAAGUGUAUCCUUCAAGUUAAAGUUCACGAAUUAUGUCAUAAAUACACUGCAAUAUAAAUCAAAAUUACAUAAUUAGAAAAUAAACAAUUUAAAUUUAAAUUUAUUUUUUUUUAAAUUUAGAAAAGGGAAAAAUAAACCCGACAAUGUUGUAAUUUAGAGUAAAUAUAUUCUCGCUCAAUAAAGUUCUCAAAAAUUGCUCUUCCUCCUAUUGAUACAUAUUGAGAUUUUAUUUUGGCCUGUCUCUCACUUUAUAGUUCUUUCUAACAACCCUUCCUGUAUCUUUGGAGCUUUCUGUUUUGCAACUAAAGUCAAACCUAAUAGGUAGUUGGCAAGCUGCUAAUCUCACAUGUUUGUGUACUUGAUCGAAUAUGCCAGGUUAUCAAAGGUUCCUUAAGCCCUAAAGCAAGGCUCAAACUUUGUUGAGUGCUUCACCUUGUUUAAUGUAUGCUUGAACGUCGUCGUCUAUUUUUUUAGGCAUACUUUUCCUUGCCAAUGAGUUGACACUACACAAUUCAUAUUUCACUUUAUGAUUUUUUUCUUUAUUUAUUUUCAUAUAUUUGUCAUUCAAGCUUAUAAUUAUUAAUCUUAGAUUAAACAUACAUAUUUGUAUUUUUUUUCGCUCUCCA